UGCAAGUCGAACGGCAGCGCGGGCUUCGGCCUGGCGGCGAGUGGCGAACGGGUGAGUAAUAUAUCGGAACGUACCCAAGAGUGGGGGAUAACGUAGCGAAAGUUACGCUAAUACCGCAUACGAUCUAAGGAUGAAAGCAGGGGAUCGCAAGACCUUGUGCUCCUGGAGCGGCCGAUAUCUGAUUAGCUAGUUGGUGAGGUAAAGGCUCACCAAGGCAACGAUCAGUAGCUGGUCUGAGAGGACGACCAGCCACACUGGAACUGAGACACGGUCCAGACUCCUACGGGAGGCAGCAGUGGGGAAUUUUGGACAAUGGGGGCAACCCUGAUCCAGCAAUGCCGCGUGAGUGAAGAAGGCCUUCGGGUUGUAAAGCUCUUUUGUCAGGGAAGAAAAGGUUGUGGCUAAUAUCCACGACUGCUGACGGUACCUGAAGAAUAAGCACCGGCUAACUACGUGCCAGCAGCCGCGGUAAUACGUAGGGUGCAAGCGUUAAUCGGAAUUACUGGGCGUAAAGCGUGCGCAGGCGGUUUCGUAAGUCUGUCGUGAAAUCCCCGGGCUUAACCUGGGAAUGGCGAUGGAGACUGCGAGGCUAGAGUUUGGCAGAGGGGGGUAGAAUUCCACGUGUAGCAGUGAAAUGCGUAGAGAUGUGGAGGAACACCGAUGGCGAAGGCAGCCCCCUGGGUCAAAACUGACGCUCAUGCACGAAAGCGUGGGGAGCAAACAGGAUUAGAUACCCUGGUAGUCCACGCCCUAAACGAUGUCUACUAAUUUGUUGGGUCUUAAUUGACUUAGUAACGCAGCUAACGCGUGAAGUAGACCGCCUGGGGGAGUACGGUCGCAAGAUUAAAACUCAAAGGAAUUGACGGGGACCCGCACAAGCGGUGGAUGAUGUGGAUUAAUUCGAUGCAACGCGAAAAACCUUACCUACCCUUG
rnacentral:rRNA from 1 species